rnacentral:rRNA from 1 species
AGAGAGAGACAUGCGCGCAUAUCAAUAAGCGGAGGAAAAGAAACUAACAAGGAUUCCCCUAGUAACGGCGAGUGAAGCGGGAAGAGCUCAAAUUUGAAAUCUUAAAGGGUUUCCCUUUACGAAUUGUAGUUUAAAGAAGUGUUUUCUGUUGAGGUUUUGGUAAAAGUUCUUUGGAAUAGGACAUCAUAGAGGGUGAGAAUCCCGUAUUUGACCAUUAUUUUCAGCUGUGUGAUACACUUUCAAAGAGUCGGAUUGUUUGGGAAUGCAGUCCAAAAUGGGUGGUAAAUUUCAUCUAAAGCUAAAUAUUGGCGAGAGACCGAUAGCGAACAAGUACCGUGAGGGAAAGAUGAAAAGAACUUUGAAAAGAGAGUUAAACAGUACGUGAAAUUGUCAAAAGGGAAGCGUUUGACACCAGUGUUGUUUUCUCGAAAAUCAAUUAAAAAAGGCAGGAUUUUGUGUUGUAUUGACUUUAUCAGCUUUCUGCACUCUUUUCUUGUCUUUUUUAAUGCACUUUUCGUUUAACAAGUCAACAUCAAUUUCUUUUGUUGUAAAAGGGUCAUUGGAAGGUGGCUUUCUUUUCGGAGAAAGUGUUUAUAGCCUUUGGCCUCUGCAAUCGGAGAGAUUGAGGUCUGCAGCGUAGAUCCUUCGGGGUUAGAUACAUUUGUGCUAAGUUAUAGCCUUCAUAGACAACUUGUUGACUAUGAUCAGUCAUGUAGCUUACUCGCUUAUGCUAUUAUACCUACGCUUAGGAUGUUGAUGUGAUACUGCGAGCA